CAGUCGCCGCGGUAAUACGAGGGGGGCAAGCGUUGUUCGGAUUUAUUGGGCGUAAAGGGUGCGUAGGCGGUUUGGCAAGUCUUGUGUGAAAUCUUCGGGCUCAACCCGAAGCCUGCACGAGAAACUACCGGGCUUGAGUAUUGGAGAGGUGAGUGGAAUUUCCGGUGUAACGGUGAAAUGCGUAGAUAUCGGAAGGAACACCUGUGGCGAAGGCGGCUCACUGGGCAAUAACUGACGCUGAUGCACGAAAGCUAGGGGAGCAAACAGGAUUAGAUACCCCCGUAGUCCUGUCUCUUAUACA
rnacentral:rRNA from 1 species